rnacentral:rRNA from 1 species
UACGUAGGUGGCGAGCGUUGUCCGGAAUCAUUGGGCGUAAAGGGAGCGCAGGCGGCCGUGCAGGUCUUACUUAAAAGUUCGGGGCUCAACCCCGUGAUGGGUAAGAAACCGCAUGGCUUGAGUGCAGGAGAGGAAAGCGGAAUUCCUAGUGUAGCGGUGAAAUGCGUAGAUAUUAGGAGGAACACCAGUGGCGAAGGCGGCUUUCUGGACUGUAACUGACGCUGAGGCUCGAAAGCCAGGGGAGCGAACGGG